CCUGGACCGCUCUCCUGCUUGUCAGGGGAACAGCAUGGGUUGUCAGCUCUUUGAAAACAUAAGAAGAGCAGCAGUGAGUGGGAGAGGAGGCAGUGCCAGCUGCCCUGUGGGCUGACCCCACUCCCAGCCACAGCCCAGCAUCCCUGCCUCGGCAAGCGCAGCCAUGCGGGAAGCCGGGUGGUGACGAACCCAUCUGCUGGCACCCGGUGAAAGAGGAGCAGAAGAAGAUAUCAAGUAUUUCUGGAGAUAACAUUUCCUGGAAUGCCAAAAUUAGGAAUUUUGUUUGGAUUUUGUUGGACAGAGCCCAAAUGCUAUCAACUAAGCUAACCUUGGAAGAAAUUGGGGUUUGGUUGGCUGCAAUACAGUAGACAACUAAAGAUUCCCCGCUCUUCAGUUGCACCUUACUGAAAGAGAAGCCUUUCCACAUCUCAUCACUCUUGUUGCUCUUCUCUGAACUCCAGUCCCGUGGUCUCCUUUCUGAAAUAGUGGGAUCUGAAUUGCACACAACAGGUGAAGAAAAGUGAUAUAAUUCACCGAGGAAAAGAAGACAUUUGGCAGCUUGGUGCCCUAGUACUAAUGGAGCCAAGAGCCUUCUCUGCUUUCUCCUUUUGGCUGGCUCUCAUUUUGGCUGGCCUCCUUGGCAUACACAUCACUGGCAGUUUUGUGAGAAGUCAGAAGAACCAUACACUAAUUUUCACCAAGGAAAAUGCAAUUCGCAACUGCAGCUGCUCGGUGGAUAUCCGUGAUUGUGAUUACUGCCUGGCAAACCUGAUGUGCAAUUGCAAAACAGUGUUGCCUUCUACCAUCGAAAAUACUACCUACAAGAGCCACCUGACCAUUUGGUUCACAGACACCUCUGUGCUGGAGAUGCUCCUCAACUUCACAAGGGUGUGGGAUUUGAAGCUCUCCUUCUGUGGCACCACUCCUCUCCCAACAGAAUACUUGGCCAUUUGGGGACUUCGAAAGCUCCGGGUAAACAAGGUCAAGGGACGAUUUCCAGAGCAGAGUGUAAUCAUCCACAGCAGCAACAACAAUGAAAACGAAGACUUGCUUGCAGUGCACAACAAAGACAGGCAAAUGCUUGCAUACAUUUCUUUUCUGGAUACCUCACUUUUCAAUGGAUAUUCUUUGCUGAAGUCAUACAGCGUGGACAACGUCUCUAGUAUCACAGAGCACUUUCCCAGCCUGCUCUACUCUGAUGUUUUCUCAACCUCAGACAACAAGAGCUAUGUUGUAACAUUCAUUUACUGAGCUACUUAACAUAUUCUCUAGUCAGAGGCAUGGUAAACUUCUAGGAGAGAGAUGGGACCUCUUUAAGUCUGUUUGGUUUGGCCAGGAGGAGCUGUUAUGGGAUGGAGUUUUGACUGUGAUAGCACUCCACAAGGAGGUGUUUGCAGUGAGACAGACUCAUCCAACCAAUUCAGCAAAAUGCUUUCUUAAAGAAGAAAACGUGAAACGACUGUUUUAGAAAGCAUCAGUACAUUUUUCUUUUUAUAUAUAUCAUCAACUAAGAAUUUAAAUCUGCAGAUAAAUUUUGGCUUAAGGCUGUGCCUCAGACAGAAAGAGACGUAACUAUGUACCUCCAGUUGUAGAAGAACCAGAGCCUUCAGAGAAUCACUUAGGUUAGACGGCAGCUCAAGAGGUCUCCAGUCUAACCCCCUGCAGGGCCACCUCUAUGAUCAGACCAGGCAGCUCAGGGUUUUCUGAAGUUGGGUCCCAAAAACCCCCAAGGACAGAGCGUGCACAACCUCUCUGGGCAACCUGCUCUGCAGGUGGAAAUGUUUGUCCAUAUAUUAAGCCCAGCCUUCCCUUCUCCAGGCUGAGCAAGCCCAGUUGCCUCACACUUUUUUCAGUCACAUGCAUCAGCCCCUGACCAUCUCGGUGGCUCACCACUGGGCCACACCAAUCAAUCCAUAUCCUUCUUGUACUGGUGGGGACCAAACCGCACACAGCACUCCGUAUGCAGCCUAGGAAGUGCUGUGACAAGGGGAAUAAUCCCUUUCCUUCAUCUACUGGCCAUGACCCUGUCGAUAUGGCCCACUGCUGUCAGGUUCAAGGGGUGCCAGGUAGCUACAGGUUACUCAGACUGGAAGCACAGCAUUGUCCUUGCUCUUGGCUACUCACCAGAGCUGGGAACCCUCUGCUCAGGCUGGGUGAUGCAGCCUUUUACGAAAGCAAGGCUGGGCUACACAGGCAACCUCCAACGUCAGCGCACAACCGAAAGUGCAUUUUUGAGGUGACCAGGAUGCUCUGCUCCCUGCCAAGCCUCAGCACGCAUCACAGAAAAGCACUGGGCAAGAGGCCACCUAACAGAUGAGACACCACUAUGCUCACAAAGGGACUUUUCACAGGUAAAGUCCUGCCUCUUUCAUGUCAGGUGUGACAACACCUGCAAUUUCCCCAAAUUCAGAGAGCUUGACUUCAUCUUUUGUGAUAACAGCAAGUACUGCUCAUGUUCUCCUCUAUGAGGAGAGAGAAAAGCCCCAUCCAAAGAUUCUCAUCUGAUACGGGAGGCAAGGCUUCUGGCAGACAUGUAGCAAACAAUUUUCAGAUGCAUUGUAAGAGAAAGAUCACCAUCCCCUGAAAAACAUAUGUUGGGACUAUUCAUAUAGCCCAAAGUCUGCUCUUCACCCAUGCCUGCAGGAUUUGCAUUCUAUGAGAUAUGACUAAGGCCGGCAUUCAUCCAUAUAGUACAAUAAAAGCUUUAGAACAGCAAGUCCUAACAGUCUGGCAUUGCCAAAAAAGGAUUACAACAAAUCGCGAUAAAAUAUGUGUAUUGAGGAGAAUGGCUAUUUAGAUUUGGAAGAACCAAUGAAUUUGCUUCAACAACUUUAAAGAAAUACUUUUUGUAUAACUAUAAUAAAUGAUGGAGCAGUUUUGUUAGGAAGCAAAACUUAAUUUUUCAGAAUACUUAAAUACAUGUA